GACGAACGCUGGCGGCGUGCCUAAUACAUGCAAGUCGAACGCAGUGGGGACGGGUGAGUAACACGUGGGUAACCUCCCAUCAGAGGGGAUAACACUUGGAAACAGGUGCUAAACCGACAUUGCUGGAUGGACCCGCGGUGCAUUAGCUAGUUGGUGAGGUAACGGCUCACCAAGGCCACGAUGCAUAGCCGGCCUGAGAGGUGGAUCGGUCACAGUGGGACUGGGACACGGCCCAGACUCCAACGGGAGGCAGCAGUAGGGAAUCGUCGGCAAUGGACGAAAGGCUGACCGAGCAACGCGGCGUGAGUGAUGAAGGUUUUCGGAUCGUAAAACUCUGUUGUUAGAGAAGCGGUAUCUAACCAGAAAGCCACGGCUAACUACGUGCCAGCAGCCGCGGUAAUUC
rnacentral:rRNA from 1 species